UACCCUGGGAACUUCCAUAUGCCCAUAUGCCACAGGUGUGGCUCUAAAAUAAAUAAAUAAAUAAAUAAAUAAAUAAAUAAAUAAUAAAAAUAAGAAAAUAGAAAAAAUUUUACCAAACUCAGCCAGUAUCCAUAUAUGCGAAAGCUCAAAAGAGUAUAUUGAGGAAGCUCAAUGACACAAACAUUUGAUUAAAAAUAAAACAUGGUAUUUAAUAAAUAUUAAAAAAUAAAAUAAAUAAGUAAAUAAAAAUUUAAUACUGGACAUUGUAGGUGAUUCUGUUAUCUUCCUCUAGAGACUAUUUAUGUUUAUCAAGCAAUUAACUUGAGAUGAGCGGCAGCUGCUAUUUCUGCUCAGUUCUUUUGGUUUCCAGUUAUCUUUUUCUGGUUGUUUUCUGCUGGGCUCCUUGGUAGUCUCUGCACAUGCACAGGUCAGGAGUCAGCCAAGGAUUUGAUCAGAUUUUAUAUGCAUUUUUAAGAAGCCUCUGUGUUCUUCUAAACUUGAUUAUCUAGAGUUUCCUAGUGGUUCAGAGGGUUAGGGAUCUGGCGUUGUCACUGCUGUGGCUCUGGUUACUGCUAUGGCACAGAUUCAGAUCCCUGCUCUGGGAACUUCUGUAUGCCGUGGAUGCAGCCAAAACAAAAUAAAAUAAAAUAAACUUGAUUCUCUGACUUGUCAAACCAGUAAGACUAGCAACUUUAUGCUUGAAUUCUGGCCAUCCUAUGCUAGGUGUUCCGGAUAGUACCUUCAGACAAAAUCCUUAUGAUCACAAAUCUUAUCCACGGCACCUCCCUUCUGACCAUGGUUGACUCCCCUCCAGUUUCCUCUUGCUGGUAUUCUCUUCAGUUCCUUCAAAUAAUUGUAUUCUUUUAUUUUGUCCAGAGUCCAUAAUUUUAUAAUACAAUAUAGGCUACUCCACCACUCCUGGAAGCAGAACCUCCAACUUUUGUUUCAAAACACUCCAGUGAGGAUGUUGACUUGUCUGAAAUUUAAAGAAAAGAUCCAAGGUAGAUGUAUGUAUUUGGUAUUCACUGACCUACAGAUGGUAUUUACAGCCAUGAUAAUAGAUGAGACCAUUAAGAGAUGAGCAUAAAUAGAAAGGGGAAACAAGAAUAGAAGAAUAAAGGAAUUCCCGAAGUGGCGUGGUGGGCUAAGGAUCCAGCAUUUCCACAGCUGUGGCAGAGGUCACUACUGGGGUUCAAAACAUCCUGCAGCUGCAGCCAAAAAAAAAAAAAAGGAAUAGAAAAAGUUUUUAAAAAUUGAUUUAAUCCUCAUGAAAUUAACAGUAAUAACAGAUGCUAUUUACUGAACCCUUUGUGGAAGACUUUCCAUGCAUCUUAUUGAAUAUAUCCGACAGCAUCUGCAGCAGACAAGACAUUGAGACUCAGAAGGAAGUGGUUUGCCCGUGGUCACAUAGAAGGUGGAUGAGAAGAGGAAGAAGGAGACUACUGAGAGGGAGCAGACUGUACAGUAGGAGGAAAAUCUUGGUUGAAGUUUUUAGACUCUCAGAGUCCCAGCUUCCACAUCUGUAAAAUGGGAAUAACAGUGACCUUGUUUUUCGUGUGAGAAUUAGAAAUAAUAUAUGUAAAAUCCCCCAAAUAGUGCACCUAGGAAACAUGUAACUAGAGGAUAGUGAUAACACCUAUGAAUGUUAUUUGUUGUGUUUAGCUUUAUUAUUUUAUGCAAAUAGAAUGAAGGUCCCCCUGAUUCCUUACCAGGAGUAGGUGGGCAUAGGGAUGGAAAAGACUGAGAGGAUUAACAAGGAAGAAGACAGACAAGAGAGGGAAGGGCCUUCAGGAUGUUUGUCUAAAGCAGACUUUGGAUUGACCAGCAUCUAAAUAGGAGACAUGGGAGUUCCCGUCGUGGCUGAGUGGUUAACGAGUCUGACUAGGAACCAUGAGGUUGCGGGUUCGAUCCCUGCCCUUGCUCAGUGGGUUAACGAUCCGGCGUUGCCGUGAGCUGUGGUGUAGGUUGCAGACGCGGCUCGGAUCCCGCGUUGCUGUGGCUCUGGUGUAGGCUGGUGGCUACAGCUCCGAUUGGACCCCUAGCCUGGGAAUCUCCAUAUGCCGUGGGAGCGGCCCAAGACCAAGAAAUAGCAAAAUAAAUAAAAAUAAAAAUAAAUAAAUAAAUAAAUAAAUAGGAGACAUGAAAGCUGUUUCCCACUGAAUCUAGGACCCUAUGUGUUUGCAAGACUGAUGAAUGGACUCUCUUGGCUGUGGGCAGCACCUCCAGGUCCCUUCAGGGAUAUGGGCUCAAGCCACACAAGAGGAAGAAAACCUACAGAUUAAGUCAAAAGGUCUUUUCAGAUGCAAAGCCCAGUUCUCAACUCCACUCUCUGCUGCCUCCCAGACCCUGCACGAGAAGCUGCAGACACCAGAGUGGCAAGUGUACCGUGUCAGCUGUGGUGUGAGUGACUGCGAUUAGAUCUCUUGAGGACUUCUGAGGGGAGAUUUAACAUGAAGGAGACCAGCCAGAGGUGGCCAAGGCUUCCUGAUCCUCACUUCAUGCUAGGAAAAGCCCCAAGGUCCAGACCCACAUCUGUGUCCCCAGGAAAUGGCAAGGUAUCCUGCAGCAGGCCCAGCACUGAGUCACUACUUUUCCUGGCUCUUUCAAUCGGACAGGACAGCCUACAGAUUAGGGCCUGGAGCCAGGCUGCCUGGGUCAAAUCCCAGCUCUGCCAUUGAUUAACCAUAUAAUCCUUGAGUCUGUGCCUCAGUUUCCCCAUCUGUACUUGGGAGUAAUGGUAUUUAUGUGAUAGUGUGAGGAUUAAACAAGUUAGUUGCAUGUAGAGUUCCUAGAACUGCGCUGGGCACAUAGUAAGUCCCCGAUGAGUAUCCCUUAUUGUUGUUAUUAUUAUUAUCAGGGUCACAUGUGGAAACAACAUUAAGGAGGAUUCUGGGCACCAGCUCUUCGAUCUAGAACAACUACAAGGAGCACCUCACAAGGUUCGUUCUGCUCCACUGCCAGAAAUUCUCCUUGCACCCUUUCUGGGAAGUAGGCAGGGUGGGUCCUGGCACCCGGUUUUAAUUAUUAGGUGAGAAUCAAGGGUCAGAGGAGCCAGGAAAUUCUUCCUUUGCUCCCCGCACCCUCCAGGGCCUUCUCCCCACACGUGGAGGGGCCUAGCCAGGUCUCUGGGACCCCCUCCCCUCUGUCUUCCCCAGGCAGCCCCCCAGCCCA